UAAUGUGACAACAUCAGAUGAAGCAAAUUGUUUUUUUUUUCCAGAAAAUGAAUCGAUGAAAAGAAAAUGCUCUCUGCAAAACAGAACGACGAUUGAAUUCAAGAUCUACCGACAACUCUCAUUCUCCGAUAUCUAUACGUUCAGAAAUAUUUGCAUGUCGAAUAUGAAGCCAUCUGUGAUAAAAACGAUGAGUCCGAGAUGGUUGUCAACUGUACCUGUUCCGAUCAAUUCAAUGAAGUCGUAAGAGGCACAGGAAGAUAACAAAAGUUAAAUCUAAGUUGAUGUCUUUGUGUUAAAUAAUUAAGGAUUUCUUCAACUGUACACAGAUAAGUCUUCCACUAUAGCUUUUUUAUUAUACGUGAGACUGUUAAUCUCAUCUCCUUUAGAGUUAGUGAGUUGACUUAAUUAUGUAUACAAUUCAUGUGCAGGUGCGUGCAGUUAAAAAUUUAGAGACAGAGCUUUAUUCAUCUGAAGAAAAUGGGACAGGGACUUAGUAGAUGCAAGUCAAGAACAGGAUCACCUCCAGCUUUUUACGUUGCUUCUCCAAGUACGCUGAAUGGACGCUGAAUGGUAUUGCCUCAACACAAUCCAAAACUUUGCCCAGCACAUCUGACAAAAUAAAACAUGGUAAAGGGUGUAAGGUUUGAUUAUGAAGAUGAUUUUGAUGGGCUGAACAUCCUUUUAACAUGCAUGGACUUAUUUGGAAAUGAGCCUAACUUAUUCGGUUGUAAAUUGGUCAGAUUAUGGAUAAGUCAUUAAAACAAAAGAAUUCUGAUUGGUCUAAAAACGGGAUCGACAUUUAUUUUUUACAAAAAAAAAGGUAAUGGCAUUUGGUGGUAAAUAA